UUUGACAGCGUUACGAUAAAA
ensembl:piRNA 21ur-5957 ncRNA